rnacentral:tRNA from 1 species
UCCCUGGUGGUCUGGUGGUUAAGACUCUGUGCUCCCAACGCAGGAAACCUAGGUUUGAUUCCCUAGUCAGGGAA